rnacentral:lncRNA from 1 species
GACAGGGCAGGGCCUCACUGGAGACACAGGGGCCAGAGGCCGUCUCGGGCAGCGCAGACCCGGGCACCGCAGAGGCAGGCCCAGUGCGGCCGAAGCCGCCCGGUCCAGAGCUGCAGCCUUCGUGCUCCAGGGGCAGUGCCUGGCGAGGACCACAGUGCCCAUAGGUCUGCGGUUGAGAAGGGGGCCCGACGCCCAGCUGGCAGCAGAGGAGAAGCAGCACGUCAAUGAAGCCAGUUUAAAGCGUGAGUUCCACUCCUUGUGAGCUUCGUGGUCCACAGACUGGGAGAGCCUUCCUGCACUUGGACACAGCCCGACUUGCGGCUUGGAGGUGGUCCUUCUAUUGACCUCGCACCCUUGAGAUCUAAGAUUGUGCUGUCAGUAAUGCAAUGUGUGUGUGUGUGUGUGCAUGAAUCUAUGUGCACACACACACGCUCUGUCAGAAGAGGACGCACAGGGUUGAGCUCUUUUGAGGCACUUGUAGAUUGACGUACUGGGUAAUGAGCCGGGCAGCCAGGUGAGACCUAAGACAACACUGUGUGAGAGAAACACAAGCCGCAUCGCCCGGGAGCGGAGGGAGGUCCGCCUGUGUGUCUGCAAGGGUUAGGGUCACUUUAUAUUUGUGUUGGAGCAAACGUUCAACUCGGGUAUGGACGACAGAGGCAGCCAGACCGGGCUUGAUUUGCUAGGAUGAAUCAAGAGAAAGAUGAUAGGAUCAGACAGACAUGCUUUUCUCUGGCGGGUGCAGGUUUUCCGCUGGGCAAUGCAUGAUCAAUCAACGCUUGUCCGAGAAGGAUGCAUCCUUUCUGUUGUCAUUAAAGCCGCAGUUACAUGCUCACCUGGGCAAGAAGUGGGGCCAGUCCACUGCUUUCCCAUCUGAGCUUGAUGUCAGGCUUUGUGUCUCAAGUCCAAAGUCCGGUUUAGCCCUCCGUGCAUUCUUCUGUCCUGUUCUGAUGACUGCGUCGUCUUGGUGCAUUUGUUGUAGUCAGAAUCAAAAGGCAAACAGUAGACUUGCGUGAAUAAAAGCCACUGUGGAGCUGUGGACGAACUCCCAGAGUGAAGUCUGGUGGAGUGUACGAUGCAGGCAUUGAGAAACGCUCCACAGUUCCUCUCCCUGAGGGCCUGCCCAGCCCCGCGUGUACCUGCCCAGGAACAGCAGUUAUGCAGGCUGGCCGUUUGGGAUCCCAAAGUGUGCAUUUGAAACCCAAAUUCACGCCCCUCGUGUUUAUUUGGGUCAUCAUGAUUUUCAUGUGGUACAUAUGUCUGGAGCACUUCAUAUGCCCACACAUCCCAGACUCUCAAUCACAGCUCUGUAAUUUUUAAAAGGAGGCAAACUCUACAGGAAAGAGAAGCAUGUAAAUAUGUACCAAUGCUUAUGACGUCAUUAUUAUCUGUAUGUAAAAAGGAUGUGCAUUGGAAAGGGAAAAUGGCUCAAUGAAUGUUUUAAGUAAUCCAUGUACCAAACUGCAAUUUGAAACUGCAUGUUCCCCAAAGCACACAUUGAGUUGAAAUGCCAAGUCUUCUCUUCAGAUACCAUUGUUUCUGUUCAUGUAUCAUAGGCACCUUCUGUUCAUCUGCCUACAAAAUCCAGCAUUUUAGGGUUGGGCUUUUGGAAAAAAAAAAAAGAGAGAAGAAAGAGACAAAUAUGCAUAUUUGUCACUAUUUCCUGCCAAUCCACUGAGCAUCUGAAGAAGUCAAGUAUUUUAAAAUAAUAUGCAUUCUCUAAAUACUAGAAUGUACCUUUUAUUCAAAACCAGUGGACUGUAUUGAAUUGAAUAUUUGGGCUCACUAUUUAGCUCUUCAAAUAGAGGAAGUGUCACAAAGAGGUUGAAACACAGAAAUGUUUACUGUGUAACUGAGAAGUGUGCAGCCUAACGGUUAUCACCAUGGCCAUGUGCACAAUAUCCAGAAACACUUUCACGUGCUUUCGUUUGUGCAAACCAGAACUCACGUGCACCAUGUCCAGAAGACGCAUGUGCUUUCAUUUGUGCAAACCAGAAUCCAUGUGAGCUGCAGCUUCCUUGUUGACACAGUGUGUGUACCUCGUUCCCGUGGUCUCAAGCUCCAGUUGCUGAAGGACUGUGGCCUUUCCCUAAAGUGCUCAGCCCUCGAGGAACCUGUAGCCUUCAGGACACCCUGAGUGCCUUACGCGGCUGUGAACACCAGUGCCGGCAGUCAGGAAGGAGGGCGUGCCGGGAGUGGGUUUGGAGGUGUUGGACAUUAAUCUACGCUGACCAUCACUGCGUCAUUGACCUUAAGAUGGACUGUAUGUUUUAACACAGUGAUGGAUUUACGUUUAGGCUCAGGAAAAUCAAGCUGUACAUAUAGGUAUCAAAUCAUAUAUUUGUUUACUGUGUAUUUUUUAAAAGCUUUAUUGUAAAUUUAUGCAAACACGAAUGAGGACUUGUUU